rnacentral:rRNA from 1 species
AGUGAACGCUGGCGGUAGGCCUAACACAUGCAAGUCGAACGGCAGCACAGUAAGAGCUUGCUCUUACGGGUGGCGAGUGGCGGACGGGUGAGGAAUACAUCGGAAUCUACUUUUUCGUGGGGGAUAACGUAGGGAAACUUACGCUAAUACCGCAUACGACCUACGGGUGAAAGCAGGGGAUCUUCGGACCUUGCGCGAUUGAAUGAGCCGAUGUCGGAUUAGCUAGUUGGCGGGGUAAAGGCCCACCAAGCCGACGAUCCGUAGCUGGUCUGAGAGGAUGAUCAGCCACACUGGAACUGAGACACGGUCCAGACUCCUACGGGAGGCAGCAGUGGGGAAUAUUGGACAAUGGGCGCAAGCCUGAUCCAGCCAGACCGCGUGGGUGAAGAAGGCCUUCGGGUUGUAAAGCCCUUUUGUUGGGAAAGAAAAGCAGCAGGUUAAUACCCCGCUGUUCUGACGGUACCCAAAGAAUAAGCACCGGCUAACUUCGUG